rnacentral:tRNA from 1 species
AUUUAUAUAGUUUAAACAAAACAUUACCGUUUCAUUGUAAAAUUAGAAUUUUUUCUUAUAAAUA